rnacentral:rRNA from 1 species
GACAGAGGGUGCAAACGUUGUUCGGAAUUACUGGGCGUAAAGCGCGUGUAGGCGGCCCUGCAAGUCGGGUGUGAAAUCCCACGGCUCAACCGUGGAAGUGCACUCGAAACUGCAGGGCUAGAGUCCUGGAGAGGAAGGUGGAAUGCUUGGUGUAGAGGUGAAAUUCGUAGAUAUCAAGCGGAACACCGGUGGCGAAGGCGGCCUUCUGGACAGUGACUGACGCUGAGACGCGAAAGCGUGGGGAGCGAACAGG